UUGUACCACCACGGGCAUUUUUAUUACUAUUGUUAUCUUUAAACUGCCCGAUUAGGUAGCUUAGGCUGUUUGUUGCACCCGUUUUUGGAGGUUUCGGUCUCCAGAUGCUGAUGCGAUGUAGGGCUCUUUCACCCGGUAUUUGUGCCCCGGCAGUUUCAGGCUGAAACAGCCGAGGUCUUUCCUGCAGCUUCUUAAAUCCCUCCUGGCCCCAGUUCCUCCAGGAGCACGAGUUCUUUCUUUGGAUUGUCUGUGCUUUGCAGUAAUGGCAAUACAUUCAUUCUGCCAUUUGGAGGAGCCUGUGCCACAGAAUAAUGGUCUGAAGAAGGUUAGCUUAUUUGCAGAGCCUUCAUUUGGGAAAUGGUACUGAUGCAGCAACGAGGUGCUUUGUCAAGUCCAGCAAAAAUAUUAUUGUACCUAACACAAUCUUCAGUACGUGGACAAAGUUCUUCCCAAAAGAAUGAAUAAAAUCGCAUAUCAAAAGAAUGAAUAAAAAUCGCAUAUCAAAAGAAUAAGAAGCUUCUCUCCUGUCUCAGAGACAUAUUCUGCCUUCCUGGGGCUUAUGGUCUGAGAACGUCCAAGCAGAGGGCUCAUUGCCCAGAAGAUUGAAUGUUAGGCCCUAAGAAAAUAUUUUGCURGAUGGGAGUUGUUUGUCUGAAAAGUGCUCCAAGGACUGAGUAUGAAACAGGAAGAGUGAGUGGCACACAGAGUGGCACUCUGGUAAG